GAUGCUUUGUAGUUUCUAUUUUGUAAAUUUAGUCAUUCCUGUAGAUUAGUUUCUGUUACAAACUGUGCAGCUCAUGAACACAUGGCUGUUGUUGUGACGUUUAAGGAUGUUUAAUGUGUGUGUUUUUUUAGAGCAAAGUGAAGAUUCAGAUUUGGGUAAGUAAACCGUAAUCCCACUAGUUUCGUUGGGACUUUAAUAAAGAGCACUAAUAUUUUUUGUGCCUUUUUUCUCUUCUGCAGCCCCACUCAUCAGUCACGAGCAACGUACAAACACACAACAAUAUGACACAUUCACUGAAUCCACUGGCUCCACUAAUGAGCUUAGAUUUAUUAUGCUCAGCAGCGAUAAAGAUCUUAUGGAUGAUGCAUGUGACAUCAUUUUUAGAGAAAGAGCAG